UACGUAGGGUGCGAGCGUUAAUCGGAAUUACUGGGCGUAAAGCGUGCGCAGGCGGCUAUUUAAGCUUGCUGUGAAAGCCCCGGGCUUAACCUGGGAACUGCAGUGAGGACUGGAUGGCUGGAGUGUGGCAGAGGGGGGUGGAAUUCCACGUGUAGCAGUGAAAUGCGUAGAGAUGUGGAGGAACACCGAUGGCGAAGGCAGCCCCCUGGGCUAACACUGACGCUCAGGCACGAAAGCCAGGGGAGCAAACGGG
rnacentral:rRNA from 1 species